UCCCAGUACUGCCAUUCCUCCGGCUCUGGAUCUGAAAGGUCUGCAAGUCUGCAUGGGAAAGGCUGGCAGUGGGCACCUCUGCCAGUGUGGCACAGGGGAGCUGCAUGUCCCCAGCGGGAGAUGGGGGCCUUGGAGGUUUCUGCUCACAGGAGGGACCCCAUGUUUCAUCUCUAUUGAUUCCUAGAGGGCCAUCUCCCUGAUGCUGGUAGGAGAGCUUUAGCUUCAAAUUAAUCCAGACUUCAGCUCAAUGAGAAGAAACAGGCGAGAAUGUAAGGCAGCGCUUUGUUGGAUUUGACUGCCCUUGAAGCGCGCAGUACAGACGUUAAUUCAUGCACUCCUCGACGGCUGCCUCAUCGCCAGCAAUGAGCAACGUCUCGGCGGUGUGACGGGCCCGUAGGCGUGAGCUGCCAGGAGCGCCCUGGGAAGGGGCAGGGGUGCUCAGCUCCUCACGGUGCUGGCCACCAGGUCCGCUUUUCCCUGCACGCAACCACCUGAAGAUGCCUCAGCCAAGCACCUCAUCAGCGGUGUCCUUCUGGACCUUUGGCGUGAUGUUGGGGUGACGCCGCUUGGCGGACUGAGAUUGAAGGAGAAACAGAGCAAGGGUUGAAGGCACUGUCUUAAAAAGAUUGUCUAGAGCCAUCAAGGACCUUGAGUCCAAACCUCUGAGAAGUAUUAAUACAGGCUUGGGACCUAGGUAGGAUAUUUUCAUUUUUCUCUAUCAAAGUGAAUUAGAAAGUGGAUUAUGUCUAUCAGAACCUCUGUUUCAGGAGGACUGAGCUGCUGUGCAUUGCCUUCAGUGAUUAAAAAACCCUCAUAUUCUGAAUGAUUUUAAUUGUGAAGCCAAAAAAUAAUUUGAAAACUAGCUCAAACUGCUCUUUUCCAACAAUGUCAAGCCGGAAUGGCUUGCUGCCACUGAGCACUUCAUUUCAGGGUGUUUUCAGAAUCAAAGGUUGUUGAAGUGGACAUAUUCCUGUAGCAAAUUUCCAUUUUGAUGAACUUGCAUUUCUAGAAAACUUUCAAGCAGCAUUAGCUCUGUCUUUUGAAGAUAGCUAACACACAAAAAUCCAAUUUCCCUUAUUUCCUUUAAGAGUGGAUAUAUCUAGCCGAUUAUUCACAGUCCUUCUUCUAUCACUCACAGCUGGCUUUGUGUAUUUUACAAAACCUCUUGUCUUUUAACCAGGAACUUGACCACAAUAA